rnacentral:rRNA from 2 species
UUAAGCGACUAAGCGUACACGGUGGAUGCCCUGGCAGUCAGAGGCGAUGAAGGACGUGCUAAUCUGCGAUAAGCGUCGGUAAGGUGAUAUGAACCGUUAUAACCGGCGAUUUCCGAAUGGGGAAACCCAGUGUGUUUCGACACACUAUCAUUAACUGAAUCCAUAGGUUAAUGAGGCGAACCGGGGGAACUGAAACAUCUAAGUACCCCGAGGAAAAGAAAUCAACCGAGAUUCCCCCAGUAGCGGCGAGCGAACGGGGAGGAGCCCAGAGCCUGAAUCAGUGUGUGUGUUAGUGGAAGCGUCUGGAAAGGCGCGCGAUACAGGGUGACAGCCCCGUACACAAAAAUGCACAUAUUGUGAGCUCGAUGAGUAGGGCGGGACACGUGGUAUCCUGUCUGAAUAUGGGGGGACCAUCCUCCAAGGCUAAAUACUCCUGACUGACCGAUAGUGAACCAGUACCGUGAGGGAAAGGCGAAAAGAACCCCGGCGAGGGGAGUGAAAAAGAACCUGAAACCGUGUACGUACAAGCAGUGGGAGCACGCUUAGGCGUGUGACUGCGUACCUUUUGUAUAAUGGGUCAGCGACUUAUAUUCUGUAGCAAGGUUAACCGAAUAGGGGAGCCGAAGGGAAACCGAGUCUUAACUGGGCGUUAAGUUGCAGGGUAUAGACCCGAAACCCGGUGAUCUAGCCAUGGGCAGGUUGAAGGUUGGGUAACACUAACUGGAGGACCGAACCGACUAAUGUUGAAAAAUUAGCGGAUGACUUGUGGCUGGGGGUGAAAGGCCAAUCAAACCGGGAGAUAGCUGGUUCUCCCCGAAAGCUAUUUAGGUAGCGCCUCGUGAAUUCAUCUCCGGGGGUAGAGCACUGUUUCGGCAAGGGGGUCAUCCCGACUUACCAACCCGAUGCAAACUGCGAAUACCGGAGAAUGUUAUCACGGGAGACACACGGCGGGUGCUAACGUCCGUCGUGAAGAGGGAAACAACCCAGACCGCCAGCUAAGGUCCCAAAGUCAUGGUUAAGUGGGAAACGAUGUGGGAAGGCCCAGACAGCCAGGAUGUUGGCUUAGAAGCAGCCAUCAUUUAAAGAAAGCGUAAUAGCUCACUGGUCGAGUCGGCCUGCGCGGAAGAUGUAACGGGGCUAAACCAUGCACCGAAGCUGCGGCAGCGACGCUUAUGCGUUGUUGGGUAGGGGAGCGUUCUGUAAGCCUGUGAAGGUGUGCUGUGAGGCAUGCUGGAGGUAUCAGAAGUGCGAAUGCUGACAUAAGUAACGAUAAAGCGGGUGAAAAGCCCGCUCGCCGGAAGACCAAGGGUUCCUGUCCAACGUUAAUCGGGGCAGGGUGAGUCGACCCCUAAGGCGAGGCCGAAAGGCGUAGUCGAUGGGAAACAGGUUAAUAUUCCUGUACUUGGUGUUACUGCGAAGGGGGGACGGAGAAGGCUAUGUUGGCCGGGCGACGGUUGUCCCGGUUUAAGCGUGUAGGCUGGUUUUCCAGGCAAAUCCGGAAAAUCAAGGCUGAGGCGUGAUGACGAGGCACUACGGUGCUGAAGCAACAAAUGCCCUGCUUCCAGGAAAAGCCUCUAAGCAUCAGGUAACAUCAAAUCGUACCCCAAACCGACACAGGUGGUCAGGUAGAGAAUACCAAGGCGCUUGAGAGAACUCGGGUGAAGGAACUAGGCAAAAUGGUGCCGUAACUUCGGGAGAAGGCACGCUGAUAUGUAGGUGAAGUGCCUCGCUGGUGGAGCUGAAAUCAGUCGAAGAUACCAGCUGGCUGCAACUGUUUAUUAAAAACACAGCACUGUGCAAACACGAAAGUGGACGUAUACGGUGUGACGCCUGCCCGGUGCCGGAAGGUUAAUUGAUGGGGUUAGCCGCAAGGCGAAGCUCUUGAUCGAAGCCCCGGUAAACGGCGGCCGUAACUAUAACGGUCCUAAGGUAGCGAAAUUCCUUGUCGGGUAAGUUCCGACCUGCACGAAUGGCGUAAUGAUGGCCAGGCUGUCUCCACCCGAGACUCAGUGAAAUUGAACUCGCUGUGAAGAUGCAGUGUACCCGCGGCAAGACGGAAAGACCCCGUGAACCUUUACUAUAGCUUGACACUGAACAUUGAGCCUUGAUGUGUAGGAUAGGUGGGAGGCUUUGAAGUGUGGACGCCAGUCUGCAUGGAGCCGACCUUGAAAUACCACCCUUUAAUGUUUGAUGUUCUAACGUUGACCCGUAAUCCGGGUUGCGGACAGUGUCUGGUGGGUAGUUUGACUGGGGCGGUCUCCUCCUAAAGAGUAACGGAGGAGCACGAAGGUUGGCUAAUCCUGGUCGGACAUCAGGAGGUUAGUGCAAUGGCAUAAGCCAGCUUGACUGCGAGCGUGACGGCGCGAGCAGGUGCGAAAGCAGGUCAUAGUGAUCCGGUGGUUCUGAAUGGAAGGGCCAUCGCUCAACGGAUAAAAGGUACUCCGGGGAUAACAGGCUGAUACCGCCCAAGAGUUCAUAUCGACGGCGGUGUUUGGCACCUCGAUGUCGGCUCAUCACAUCCUGGGGCUGAAGUAGGUCCCAAGGGUAUGGCUGUUCGCCAUUUAAAGUGGUACGCGAGCUGGGUUUAGAACGUCGUGAGACAGUUCGGUCCCUAUCUGCCGUGGGCGCUGGAGAACUGAGGGGGGCUGCUCCUAGUACGAGAGGACCGGAGUGGACGCAUCACUGGUGUUCGGGUUGUCAUGCCAAUGGCACUGCCCGGUAGCUAAAUGCGGAAGAGAUAAGUGCUGAAAGCAUCUAAGCACGAAACUUGCCCCGAGAUGAGUUCUCCCUGACUCCUUGAGAGUCCUGAAGGAACGUUGAAGACGACGACGUUGAUAGGCCGGGUGUGUAAGCGCAGCGAUGCGUUGAGCUAACCGGUACUAAUGAACCGUGAGGCUUAACCUU